CCUACGGGAGGCUGCAGUGAGGAAUAUUGGUCAAUGGGCGGAAGCCUGAACCAGCCAAGUAGCGUGCGGGAUGAAGGCCCUACGGGUCGUAAACCGCUUUUGCACGGGGAUAACACCCUCCACUUGUGGAGGUCUGCAGGUACCGUGCGAAUAAGGGCCGGCUAAUUCCGUGCCAGCAGCCGCGGUAAUACGGAAGGCCCGAGCGUUAUCCGGAUUCAUUGGGCUUAAAGGGAGCGUAGGCGGGCGUUCAAGUCAGCUGUAAAAUCGCGCGGCUCAACCGCGCCCCGCAGUUGAAACUGGACGCAUUGAGUUCACAACAGGCAGGCGGAAUUCGUGGUGUAGCGGUGAAAUGCAGAGAUAUCACGAGGAACCCCGAUUGCGAAGGCAGCCUGCCGGGGUGCGACUGACGCUGAGGCUCGAAGGUGCGGGUAUCAAACAGGAUUAGAUACCCUGGUAGUC
rnacentral:rRNA from 1 species